rnacentral:rRNA from 1 species
UACGUAGGGUGCGAGCGUUAAUCGGAAUUACUGGGCGUAAAGCGUGCGCAGGCGGUUCGUUGUGUCUGAUGUGAAAGCCCCGGGCUCAACCUGGGAAUGGCAUUGGAAACUGGCGAGCUAGAGUGUGGCAGAGGGGGUGGAAUUCCGCGUGUAGCAGUGAAAUGCGUAGAGAUGCGGAGGAACACCGAUGGCGAAGGCAGCCCCUGGGCUGACACUGACGCUCAGGCACGAAAGCGUGGGAGCAAACAGG